GGACCCGCACAAGUAGUGGAGCAUGUGGUUUAAUUCGAUGCAACGCGAAGAACCUUACCAGGGUUUGACAUCCUGCGAAUCUCUUGGAAACGAGAGAGUGCCUUCGGGAACGCAGUGACAGGUGGUGCAUGGCUGUCGUCAGCUCGUGUCGUGAGAUGUUGGGUUAAGUCCCGCAACGAGCGCAACCCACGUCGUUAGUUGCCAGCAUUUAGUUGGGCACUCUAGCGAGACCGCCGGUGAUAAACCGGAGGAAGGUGUGGAUGACGUCAAGUCAUCAUGCCCCUUACAUCCUGGGCUACACACGUACUACAAUGCUACGGACAAAGGGCAGCAAACUCGCGAGAGCUAGCAAAUCCCAUAAACCGUGGCUCAGUUCAGAUCGUAGGCUGCAACUCGCCUACGUGAAGGAGGAAUC
rnacentral:rRNA from 1 species